rfam:halophilic archaeon J07HX64 genomic scaffold scf_7180000098875, whole genome shotgun sequence.
GCGAGGGUAGCAGAGUCAGGCCAAACGCGGCGGGCUUAAGACCCGCUCCCGCAGGGGUUCCUGGGUUCGAAUCCCAGCCCUCGCA